AUGCACGCUGGCGGCGUGCCUCAUACAUGCCAGUCGAGCGAACAGACGAGAGUGCUUGCACUCUCUGACGUUAGCGGCGGACGGGUGAGUAACACGUGGGUAACCUACCUAUAAGACUGGGAUAACUUCGGGAAACCGGAGCUAAUACCGGAUAAUAUUUAGCUUCGCAUGAAGCAAUAGUGAAAGACGGUUCUGCUGUCACUUAUAGAUGGACCCGCGGUGUAUUAGCUAGUUGGUGAGGUAACGGCUCACCAAGGCAACGAUACAUAGCCGACCUGAGAGGGUGAUCGGCCACACUGGGACUGAGACACGGCCCAGACUCCUACGGGAGGCAGCAGUAGGGAAUCUUCCGCAAUGGACGAAAGUCUGACGGAGCAAUGCCGCGUGAGUGAAGAAGGUUUUCGGAUCGUAAAACUCUGUUGUAAGGGAAGAACAAGUACGUUAGUAACUGAACGUACCUUGACGGUACCUUACCAGAAAGCCACGGCUAACUACGUG
rnacentral:rRNA from 1 species